GCUUGGGUAGCUCAGUUGGUAGAGCACUUGCCCUCAAAAGGCAAAGACUCCGAGUUCGAGUCUCGGCCCGGUGCA
rnacentral:tRNA from 1 species